rnacentral:rRNA from 1 species
GAUGAACGCUGGCGGCGUGCCUAAUACAUGCAAGUCGAGCGAACAGACGAGGAGCUUGCUCCUCUGACAUUAGCGGCGGACGGGUGAGUAACACGUGGAUAACCUACCUAUAAGACUGGGAUAACUUCGGGAAACCGGAGCUAAUACCGGAUAAUAUAUUGAACCGCAUGGUUCAAUAGUGAAAGACGGUUUUGCUGUCACUUAUAGAUGGAUCCGCGCCGCAUUAGCUAGUUGGUAAGGUAACGGCUUACCAAGGCAACGAUGCGUAGCCGACCUGAGAGGGUGAUCGGCCACACUGGAACUGAGACACGGUCCAGACUCCUACGGGAGGCAGCAGUAGGGAAUCUUCCGCAAUGGGCGAAAGCCUGACGGAGCAACGCCGCGUGAAUGAUGAAGGUCUUCGGAUCGUAAAACUCUGUUAUUAGGGAAGAACAAAUGUGUAAGUAACUAUGCACGUCUUGACGGUACCUAAUCAGAAAGCCACGGCUAACUACGUG